GAUGAACGCUAGCUACAGGCUUAACACAUGCAAGUCGAGGGACCGGCGCACGGGUGAGUCACACGUAUCCAACCUGCCCUUUACUCGUGGAUAGCCUUUCGCAAGAAAGAUUCAUACCCGAUUUCACGGCUUGGGAUGCGUUCCAUUAGUUUGUGUGUGAGGUAACGGCUCACCAAGCCUUCGAUGGAUAGGAGUUCUGAGAGGAAGGGCACCAACAUUGGAACGGAAACACGGUCCAAACUCAUACAGGAGGCAGCAGUGAGGAAUAUUGGUAAAUGGGCGUUAGCCUGAACCAGCCAAGUAGCGUGAAGGAUGAAGGCUUAUGGGUCGUAACCUUCUUUUAUAUAAGAAUAUGUAUUAUAUGAAUAAGGAUCGGCUAACUCCGUGCCAGCCACCGCGGUAAUUC
rnacentral:rRNA from 1 species